AGUCGGACCGGACCGGCGACGACGGGUAGAACGUAACGCGUACUACCCUAACCCUUACCCUUAGGGUAGGGAUACGCCGGUGAAAAUCGGAUUAAUACCCUAUGUUGUUCGAAGCAGACAUCUAAAUUGAACCAAAGGUUUACCGCUAAGGGAUGGGGGAUGCGUCUGAUUAGGUAGUAGGCGGGGUAACGGCCCACCUAGCCGACGAUCAGUAGGGGUUCUGAGAGGAAGGUCCCCCACAUUGGAACUGAGACACGGUCCAAACUCCUACGGGAGGCAGCAGUGAGGAAUAUUGGUCAAUGGGCGCGAGCCUGAACCAGCCAAGUAGCGUGCAGGACGACGGCCCUAUGGGUUGUAAACUGCUUUUAUACAGGGAUAAAGUCACCUACGUGUAGGUGUUUGUAGGUACUGUAUGAAUAAGGACCGGCUAAUUCCGUGCCAGCAGCUGC
rnacentral:rRNA from 1 species